AGAAAAAACAGUUUUCAUUGCCACCUAUCAGCUGCUAGCAUCCAGGAUCCCUCUCACUCUGGCUUGAGGCCAGCACAUAGUACAAACACAGAACAUGUUGCUCUGGUGGAUGAUACUUCCAGUCCACUGACAAGUUCCCACAAAGCACAAUCCUCUCCUGCAUGUUACUCAAUAAUGGCAUUAAACCAUUGGAGAGACGGUGAGACAACAUGGGGUGACAUGUCAACAAGCAGACAGCAUCUCUUUUACAUCCAACGUAAACAGCAUCAUCUCCCAGCUCUUACAAUGCCUACCUGUAACUGGCACCUGAAUGAAGAGCAGAUACUAAACCUGAAUCCAUGCAAGACUGAGGUGAUUUAGACACCUGCUGGUGUCCCAGCAGCACCCUUGGCAGCAGCUAACCCUCCAGAGCUGAGCAGCAGAAGGAAACAAGCCACAGAACAAUGUCGUACAGUACACACACCAAAAAGCCUAAGAGCACAGCA